rnacentral:rRNA from 1 species
AGCGAACGCUGGCGGCAGGCCUAACACAUGCAAGUCGAACGAAGUCUUCGGACUUAGUGGCGGACGGGUGAGUAACACGUGGGAACGUGCCUUUAGGUUCGGAAUAACUCAGGGAAACUUGUGCUAAUACCGAAUGUGCCCUUCGGGGGAAAGAUUUAUCGCCUUUAGAGCGGCCCGCGUCGGAUUAGCUAGUUGGUGAGGUAAAGGCUCACCAAGGCGACGAUCAGUAGCUGGUCUGAGGGGAUGAUCAGCCACAUUGGGACUGAGACACGGCCCAAACUCCUACGGGAGGCAGCAGUGGGGAAUCUUGCGCAAUGGGCGAAAGCUUGACGCAGCCAUGCCGCGUGAAUGAUGAAGGUCUUAGGAUUGUAAAAUUCUUUCACCGGGGACGAUAAUGACGGUACCCGGAGAAGAAGCCCCGGCUAACUUUGUGCCAGCCGCCGCAGUAAAAC